UCUCCUUGAUCUAUGCUGCCUGGGUUCCUUCCCGGAUGAAAGAACCGUCCAAUCGAUGCUUAUCUGCCGGGCGUGAAAGGGUCCCUCGAAAUCAUCGCAGGCUGGAUGCCAAGGCAGUUGGGAAGAGUGGAUACCAGUGGUUCAACUGAAGGCAAGGAGAGGCUGGUGCAGAGGAUGGUCAUCACAUGGCUCGACGAGCGGACAGACCCCGCUCUUCUGGGGAUCGACUAAAACCCACUUCUCAUCCACCUCCCCGCCCAGAAGAACCACAUGACCGGGAAGACGCUCACCUCCAUCUCUCCCAAGACGGAGCAAAGACCCCCUCGCAGCCCCCGUUUAACAUCAUCCGGCGCCCAUCUGGCCAGCGGGCAGCCCCAGGGGUCCAAAUCUGGCACUUGGGGCCUCCUGUAGCACCCGGCCUCUCGUCGUCUCCUGCCGCCAGUCGCACGGCUUGGAAGCGGCUCCCGUGUUCAGAGGGGCCUUUGAGGGGACCGCGAUGAACCUGAGGCAAAGAGGGGGUCAGGAGCCUCCCCGGAGAGGAAUCUAGGGCCGUGCAUGCUUUUGACGCACCAGCGUGACAAAAUAGGCAUCGAAAACUGGGAUGGCAACGGAGCAUCUGAUCUUCACGUGGGCCCCGGGGGAUCCGUCUCUCCUCACUGGAAGAAGCCUCUAGUUUCCAAGGCGCUCCCUGUUCUGAGAAGGGAGAACCGGCUUCUUUCUCUACGGACACUCCGGAGAGGGGCCCUGGACGUCUUCACGUGACUUUCCUGAACUCGAGGGGACUUUGGUCAGUCGCCUUCUCUAAAAUAUGGCCGGUCCGAACUUAGAGCUUCAAUCGCCAGUGACUCCUGUUCCCACCCACCUCGGCUUCCUCACCCCGGGAUCGACUUUCUGGCCCGCACCACCCUCUCACCCCGAUCGUUGGCUUCUUGUCCCGCGUUGAUGGGGGCUUGUCUCUGAGUGGACACUCUGCCCCCCCUCAACCGCCGGCCGGUGACCGUUCUGGCCCAGGAGCCGGGCCGGGGCAGGUCGAGCUGCCUAGAUGAGCAGAGGCCGAAGCCGGUUUUCAAGCCUCUGAGGGAGCGUAGCACGUGCUCAGAAUAACUAGGCUUCACUUCGGCUCCCGGCUCCGUCACUAAAACCUGGGACAAUUCUCUCCUCUUGCCGAUCCUCUCUGCACUGAGCGGGUCUUGGGUAGGUGCUAUGGGGGAAAAAAAAUGUUCGCGGUUAUUAAAACGGCGGCGUUUGCGCUAAG